rnacentral:lncRNA from 1 species
GCCUCUGAAGAAAAUGAGAACAAAAAGGGGGAAUCUGAGAGACAUAAAGGGAUGAGAGUACCGUAAGAACCUAUAUUUUUUUAAAAAAAUUUUCCUGCACAACUCGUAAAGCAAAAAAAAAAAAAAAACAAGAAGAAAGGAGAAAGAAGCAGAGAAGAGGACUCCCGGAAGGAGUCCACUUCUUCUCUCCCGAUUUUCUUCAAAAAUCAAGAUCAAAACCCACUAAAUAUGACUCUAAUCACAUCUAUAAAUAGUGAUCCCCUUUUUAUGAAUUCUCAUCACCAAAUUUCUGAGCAAAUCACCGUCGGUUUCGAGCACUUAUCUGAGCCAUUUCCUUGGGUUUUUGCCGGAAAAAUCAUCGAUUUUCCCCGAUUAGCCUCGUCGGAUCUAGGUAAGACACUAAGCCUUUUAUUCCUCUUCUUUUCCGCGUUUGUUGCUGCCGAUUAGAGCCGGCGAACCACCGGAUUUGGGCAAGAACAGGAUCUCCCCUGUUCUCUGAUUUUUCUCCUUGUCUUUCCGACUGCCGGUGGCUAUGGAUGUUGCCGGGGUCAUCGUUCGGUCGGUCCUAACUGUCACCGUUGGUCUCCGGCUUGGAUUUCACGGCCAUGGCCGGAUGAAGGGGGAAGGGGAAGAAGGGUUCGGGUACCCUGUUUCAACGAAGAAAGAAGAAAUGAGAAAG